UCAGGCCUUCUUUAUCUAACUUCUAAGCUAGAAAUGGGUAGGAAUCGCUCUGCCAUACAGCCUACGGCGUACAUGCCGAACCGAGUCGCUUUUGUUCACCAAAUGCUUCUUUGGCCCCCAAGUGCCGUGGUGGCCGAUGUUCAUGUCUACCUCUCUAGCGGUCAACCACAAGGGCCCAAGGGAAUAUGAACGAAAACAUGUGGGCGCCAAAUUGUCCGCGAUGGUCAUGGUGAUGAUACCUUUGAGUACGAGACAAUAAUAUUAUCAACAAAAGCGAUAGAGGCUUAAGGAACCAUCGGAACAGCUUUCCGCCUCCGGAUCCACUCCCAGCUGCCCAGGUUAUUCGGCAGCGUGGCCAGCUGCAAAUGCAACUGCUGUGCCAGCCUGGCGAGGGGUUUCCUCGCUGUGGCUCCUUGCUGGCCCCGCCAACAAUAAUAACAAGGAUCAGACAGAACAAGUAAACUCCGUCUCUCCCAACAAUAUCUCAAAGCGUUUCCCCAUUGACCUCGUGUUCCCGGUCACCUUGUUCUCUGAAGUGAUCAUCUCAACCACCUCUUGGGAGGCACUGUAGAAUCCAGCCUUCGCGAACAUCUGCGCCACCCCCCGCUUUCCAAUGUUGCUCCCCGUCAUUAUCCAGAAACUGAUGGAUUCGCCGCAAAAGUUUAAACACACCAGCCAAACCCCCUCUUUGUUUAAAAAAAAAUAAAAAAAUAAAAAAUUCUAGGCCCAUCAUCCGGAUCCUUAAUCCAAUGGUUUCUGCGAGUCAUCCCAGGUCAAGCUCCCACCUCAUGAUCAUGAAGAGCGAUUGACCUCGCACAAUAGAGCUGCCAAAGCCUAUAGGGCUAUCUAUCGGCCUAAGGCUCCAUAAUAAUAAUAAAACCACUAUUGUACAUACAUACGCUAACCCUGCGGGAAUUCCGCUACAGGGAUCUGGAUCUGAAGGAUUCAUUCUGUGGCCUGAAAGCCUAGCGAUUUGGCUCUGAACAAAAAGAAAAGAAAAGAAAAAUGAAAUCCUUCAGCAAUCAUGUCAGCUUUGUUGGGUAUAAUUAAAAAUAUUCAAACAAAGCUGUAUUUUCAUCCAGGGCCUACAGAUGCGCAUGGUACACUUAUGAACCAAUGACCACUACAUGGCUGGGAACAACAUGGCUUUUCCUUUUUCCAAAGUGUUCUGGAGCAAUAAUUUGACAUUGUAAGAUCUGUGUUUAUUGUUUGAUUUUUCUCUUCUCUUCAACCUGUCUCUCAUGUUCGGUUCCCAAACUCAUCCACUUUUGCAAAAAAAAAAAAGCAAAUCUGAAUUGGCCACAUUGAUAACAGGCAAAACUCAGCCAAUGAAAUUCUCACCUCUUGAUUGAUGAGUUCCCAAGCGCAUUUUACUUUGACAGGAAAAUGCCAAAUCCAACAGCUUAAUCCUUAGUUUAAAAUGCGUUUUCGCUAACUCCUUCUCUCCUCAGGAUAGUUUGUUGUUGGCACAAACAUGAACUAGCAUUCGCCAAGCGAUCAAGAAUACUGUGCGAUGAAGACAAUUCAAUUAUCUCAGACAAAGAGAGAAAUUGAUACGAGAGCCAAAAAGCAAAUUGGCAAACACAUCAAAGGUUGCAUAAUUGCGCGUUCGAAUCCAGCCC
rnacentral:sRNA from 1 species